GCUGACACAUUCCAGCCAAUCAGCAGCAUACCCUCCCUCCCAGACCCUCCCACCUCCUGGACAGCAUCCAUUUUGAAGCUGCAUUCUUAGUGAGCUGUCCAGGAGGUGGGAGGGUCUGGGAGGGAGGGUCUGCUGCUGAUUGGCUGGAAUGUGUCAG